UCAAAGGCUCUUUUCAGAGCCAUUUACCAUCGUUUCAAAGAGCUGU
rfam:Erinaceus europaeus unplaced genomic scaffold scaffold00286, whole genome shotgun sequence